rnacentral:rRNA from 1 species
UACGUAGGGUGCAAGCGUUGUCCGGAAUUAUUGGGCGUAAAGAGCUCGUAGGCGGUUCGUCGCGUCGGCUGUGAAAACCUGAGGCUCAACCUCAGGCCUGCAGUCGAUACGGGCGGACUUGAGUACUGCAGGGGAGACUGGAAUUCCAGGUGUAGCGGUGAAAUGCGUAGAUAUCUGGAGGAACACCGGUGGCGAAGGCGGCAUCCUGGACCAACACUGACGCUGAGUGAGCGAAAGCCAGGGGAGCAAACGGG